GACGUAGGGCGCGAGCGUUGUCCGGAUUUAUUGGGCGUAAAGAGCUCGUAGGCGGCUUGUCGCGUCGUCCGUGAAAACCUGGGGCUCAACUCCAGGCUUGCGGUCGAUACGGGCAGGCUCGAGUUCGGUAGGGGAGACUGGAAUUCCAGGUGUAGCGGUGAAAUGCGUAGAUAUCUGGAGGAACACCGGUGGCGAAGGCGGCAUCCUGGACCGGUAUUGACGCUGAGGAGCGAAAGCCAGGGGAGCAAACGGG
rnacentral:rRNA from 1 species